GCGAGUCGAAUGUAGCAAUACAUGGCGUACUGCUCAGUAACACGUGGAUAACCUGCCCUUGAGACGGGGAUAAACCCGGGAAACUGGGUAUAAUACCCGAUAGAUCUCGGCUGCUGGAAUGCACCGAGUUCUAAAGCUCCGGCGCUCAAGGAUGGAUCUGCGGCCUAUCAGGUAGUAGUGGGUGUAGCGUACCUACUAGCCUACGACGGGUACGGGUUGUGAGAGCAGGAGCCCGGAGAUGGAUUCUGAGACACGAAUCCAGGCCCUACGGGGUGCAGCAGGCGCGAAAACUUUACAAUGCUGGAAACAGCGAUAAGGGGACCUCGAGUGCCAGGUUACAAAUCUGGCUGUCGUGAUGCCUAAAAAGCAUUGCAUAGCAAGGGCCGGGCAAGACCGGUGCCAGCCGCCGCGGUAACACCGGCGGCUCGAGUGGUAACCGUUAUUAUUGGGUCUAAAGGGUCUGUAGCCGGCCGGAUAAGUCUCUUGGGAAAUCUGGCAGCUUAACUGUCAGGCUUUCAGGAGAUACUGUCUGGCUCGAGGCCGGGAGAGGUGAGAGGUACUUCAGGGGUAGGGGUGAAAUCUUGUAAUCCUUGAAGGACCACCAGUGGCGAAGGCGUCUCACCAGAACGGACCUGACGGCAAGGGACGAAAGCUAGGGGCACGAACCGGAUUAGAUACCCGGGUAGUCCUAGCCGUAAACGAUACUCGCUAGGUGUCGGCCACGGUGCGACCGUUGUCGGUGCCGUAGGGAAGCCGUGAAGCGAGCCACCUGGGAAGUACGGCCGCAAGGCUGAAACUUAAAGGAAUUGGCGGGGGAGCACCACAAC
rnacentral:rRNA from 1 species